rnacentral:rRNA from 1 species
UACGUAGGGUGCAGGCGUUAAUCGGAAUUACUGGGCGUAAAGCGUGCGCAGGCGGUUUGCUAAGACAGGUGUGAAAUCCCCGGGCUUAACCUGGGAACUGCGCUUGUAACUGGCAAGCUAGAGUGUGGCAGAGGGGGGUGGAAUUCCACGUGUAGCGGUGAAAUGCGUAGAGAUGUGGAGGAACACCAAUGGCGAAGGCAGCCUUCUGGGCCAACACUGACGCUCAUGCACGAAAGCGUGGGGAGCAAACAGG